GGAAGAGAGAGAGAGAGAGAGAGAGAGAGAGAGAGAGAGAGAGGGGAGGGUGAGAUGAGGGAGUAACAAAAGUGAAAACAAUUUUAAUUAGUUUUUAGUUUUUGUUUACACUUUUGUUACCUCUCCCUCUUAUUCUCCCCUCUCAAUCUCAUCUCCACUCUCAUUCUCCCU
rnacentral:snoRNA from 1 species